rnacentral:sRNA from 1 species
CAGACUUAGCAAAACUCCCCCCCUGGGCCAC